rnacentral:rRNA from 1 species
UACGUAGGCAGCAAGCGUUGUUCGGAGUUACUGGGCGUAAAGGGUGCGUAGGCGGCUCUAUAAGUCUGGUGUGAAAUCUCCCGGCUUAACUGGGAGGGUGCGCUAUAGACUGUGGGGCUAGAGUGUGGGAGAGGAAAGUGGAAUUCCUGGUGUAGCGGUGAAAUGCGUAGACAUCAGGAGGAACACCGGUGGUGUAAACGGCUUUCUGGACCAUAACUGACGCUGAGGCACGAAAGCGUGGGUAGCAAACAGG